CCACAACAGCUAUAUAUAUGCACACACAAAGUGUUCAUCCUCACAUCUUCACAUCUUACUACAGAUUAAGUGUUAUUCACAUUAAUUUUCAUUAACAUUCUUGUGUUGCGACAGCCAUGAUUAACUGCAAUGUGUAUGAACGCAUUUUCAAGCGCUUCGAUGAAGAUGGUGAUGGGAAACUCUCUCCUUCGGAGCUCCGACGCUGCUUGGGGACGAUAGGGGAGGAGCUGCUGAUGGAGGAGGCGCAAGAGUUGGUGGAGUCGAUGGACUCGGACGGAGAUGGGUUGCUGGGAUUGGAGGAAUUUGUGGGGUGGAUGGAGAGAGAGGGUGAAGAGAGAAAGAUGGAGGAUUUGAGAGAGGCCUUUAGGAUGUAUGAGAUGGAAGGGAGUGGGUGUAUAACUGCAAAGAGCUUGAAGAGGAUGCUGAGUAGAUUGGGGGAGUCAAGAAGUGUGGAAGAGUGCAGUGUUAUGAUCGGACAGUUUGAUGUAAAUGGGGAUGGGGUUCUGAGCUUUGAUGAGUUCAAGCUCAUGAUGCUUUAAUCUUGUUUAACAUCUUUCAUCUGAAUGUUGUAUUUUUUUUUUAGAUUUAAGAAGAGUGGUUUGUAUUCAAAAAUUAAGAUACUCCUCAUUGCUUUCCUCGUGCACAUGGUGAAGAAAAUACUCCCUAUUCUAUAUUUGAUUUUGCAAAAAAAUUCCUUUUACGGCAAAGAGCAAGUGUGAUAAAAUUUAAGUUGAUUUUUAAAUUAAAUUGUUAAUUCAAAUCAUUUUCUCUCUCUGUUUGUAAAAUAUUCAUAUUAAAAAUAUUAUAAAAAUACAUAAUAUUAUUACAUAAAAUAAUAAUGAAAUAUAUAUCAUGGAAAAAAUGAAGUAUUAAAUUAUUUUAUAUUUUUAAAAAGUUAUUUAGUCUAAGUUAUUGUUUUGCAUUAUUUUAACUUUAAAUUAUAUAGAAUUAAUUUACCAAUAUGCCUAGACCCCAUUUGAAAUAGAGUUUAACUUUUGCCCUAAUAAUAAAUAAGUAGAAGUAUAAGUAUUAUUGGUGUAAUUGAAUUUUAUAUUUUGGAAUGAUAUCUAUCCCCGCAAAUUUUGGCAGUCUUAUAAAAAAAGUAAAACUGUUGAAAAAAUAUUAGAAUAAAAUUUUUGCAUUAAAAUAAUUAUCGGGGUGCACAAUCCAUAGGACGAUAAUGAAUUGGAGUUGAAGAUCAAUUAAGGACCUUAUUUUUUUUUUUUAAGUGGGAAGUUGUUUUUCAUAAUUUUAUCAUUGAAGUUAUCAGUAUUUGUAAGUGAAAUUAGAGAAUUAAAUUUGGAAUACUGAAGAUUUGAUUAUUUAAUUCAAGAAGUUUGGUUUCUUAAAGUUAACAACUUGUCUAAUUUAUUUAGGAAAUUAGUUAAUAAGAGAAUAUUUAUUUUCAAUUUUCUUUUGAUUUUGUCUUUUUUUAUUGAGGAAAUUUGUUAAUAAAAAAUAUAUAUUUUUAAUUCUCUCCUAAACUUUAAUGAUUUGAUUUAAUUUUAUUUUGUAAUACUUUUAAAUUUCAUGAGGUGUCACAUUUGAAUUAAGGAGUUACAAUUUUGAAGAAUAGUUUAGUGGUAAUUUCAUGCACCAAAUUUUUUAUAUCUAUAUUAUCAUCAAUGUUUUUAGAAUUGGAUCAGUCAUUAAACCGGAAAAGUUAUUGAUUCACAGUUUACUGGUUGGACCAACGAUCUAACCGCGGUCGAACCGGUACCGUCAUAAAUUUAUAUUUUAUUAUUUUAUAUAUUAUUAAAAUUUUAAAAAUUACAAAAAAAUAAUAUAUUUUAUCUAAAUUUUUACAAUAUCUAUCAAAAUUCUGAUCAACAAAUAAAAAUAACACAUUAAAUAAUAAAUAUAAAAGUAAUAAAACAAAAAAAUAAAUUUAAAAAAUAAAAAUCAAACAUUGGAGCAGCUACUGCACAGGCCGAGGAGGGGGGUGUGUGAUCUACAACGGGUGUCGCCAGGGUGGGGGAGAUUUAUAGCCGCUGGAGUGGGGGCUUACAAUAGGGGAAGGGGGAUUGGGGGGUUAUAGCAUGCCGAAGGAGGUUUAUAGCGGCAAGGGGUGGCUUACCGGCUUGCAACGGCACGAUGGGGAAAAGGUGACUCAAGCAACGGUCUUACGACCGAUGGAGGGAGAUUUUGCAUGGUGAAAUGACCGACAGUGGGAGCUUGUCGCGGUGGGUGAGGGGCGGGCGACAACUGCUAUGGUUUGGAGAGAGAGGGUUUGGAAGGAGGUUUUAUAUCUUCCAAAACAACGUUGUUUUGAUGCUAAAAAAAAAAAUUUAAUCGAACUGUCUAGUUUGAAGGGAAAUGGCCCGUUCGUUCGGUUCAUCAAUCGAAUCACCAAUUCAGUCGGUCCGAUCCUGGUUCAACCUAUUUCCGGUCUAAUUGAUCGGAUCGGACCAGAAUCAUGACCAACCGACGAUUGGACCUGCCUGUUUAGUCCGGUUUUUAAAACCAUGAUUAUCAUAAAAUAAGAAAUAUUUUUAUUAAGGUAAUAUUUAAUUCUCGAAAAAUUUGAGGGAAAUAAAAUAGAUAGAAAAAUUAGAAGAAAAAAAUAGAUAAUAAAUUUAAAAUCAAUAAAUUAUUUUUAUAUAUUACUUUAAACUUAUUUUACUUAUUUAACUAUUUUAUAUAAGGAUUAAAUAAUUUUAAAAUAAUAAAUUUUUAAUUAAAUUUAAUUAUAUUUGAUUUUUUUUUAUAGUAGAAUCAAAUAUAAGAAAAUUAUUUUUUGAUAUUUUUUAUUUUUGUAGUAUGAACGCACACUUGGAUAAGAUUGAAAGUUGUGGGCCACAUUUAAAAAUUCUUUUCAAACAAUACUAAUUUUGAUGGAAAACUCUUUUAAGAGGAUUUUAACAUGUUUAAUAAUUUAAAUUAAGUAAUUAAAUCAUAUUAAAUUAUUAAAUAAUUAAUUUAUCAAAUAUUUCUAAAUCUUUUAAUCAAAAUGAAAAAAAUAUUUGUUAUAUAUAUAUAUAUAUAUAUAUAUAUAUGUUCAUCCACGGUGACGAGUUAUUGGAAUAGUGUAGAAGUAGAUAGGUUGUUUGAACUUUGAAGUAGUUCAGAAGUUUGCUUGUCGGAAGACCACUAUUUUAAAAAAAAAAAACAAAUUAUUAUUAUUAUUAUUAUUUUAUUUUUAAUUUUGUAACAUGAAGUCUAUCGUGUUACUCGUCUGUCGCAUCAUUUCCACAUCAUGUCCAAGUGGAUUGAAAAAGCAAACAAGCCAGAAGAAAAGUAUUCAUUUACGAGGAGGGUUUGACCCUCGUACAGUGGAAUUCCAGCACAAAGCCUAGCAAUUUCUCACUUUCUGCCUCCGAAACCUGCCAAUACGCACUCCGUGACGUCUCCAACACUCGCUUCGCUUCAUUCUCCGGAACUUCCUAGUAAAGUAUCAAUUCUUCACUCCCAAAAUCUCUAUACCCAACAGCUCCAUCUACUCCUUUUACGCGUCCUCACAACAGCUAUAUAUAUGCACACACAAAGUGUUCAUCCUCACAUCUUCACAUCUUACCACAUAUUAAGUGUUAUUCACAUCAAUUUUCAUUAAUAUCCUUGUGUUGCGACAGCCAUGAUCAACUGCAAUGUGUAUGAACACAUUUUCAAGCGCUUCGAUGAAGAUGGUGAUGGGAAACUCUCUCCUUCGGAGCUCCGACGCUGCUUGGGGACGAUAGGGGAGGAACUGAUGAUGGAGGAGGCGCAGGAGGUGGUGGAGUCGAUGGACUCGGACGGAGAUGGGUUGCUGGGAUUGGAGGAAUUUGUGGGGUGGAUGGAGAGAGAGGGUGAAGAGAGAAAGAUGGAGGAUUUGAGAGAGGCCUUUAGGAUGUAUGAGAUGGAAGGGAGUGGGUAUAUUACUCCAAAGAGCUUGAAGAGGAUGCUGAGUAGAUUGGGAGAGUCAAGAAGUGUGGAAGAGUGCAGUGUUAUGAUCGCACAGUUUGAUGUAAAUGGGGAUGGGGUUCUGAGCUUUGAUGAGUUCAAGCUCAUGUUGCUUUAAUCUUGUUUGAUACCUUCCAUGUGAAAUUUGUAUCCUUUUUAGGUUUAUAAAGAGUGAUUUGUACUAAAGAUUCUUUCUACAUGUAAGAGGAAUAUGAUUUUUUUCUUCUUUUCGGCCUAUGAUAUAAAAAUUUUAGUAAAUUAAAUUACCACAAAUUUAGUCUUCAAAAAUUGAUAAAUAAAUGGAUAAGCAAAAACAAAAUAGAUAUUCUCCUAUGGACAAGUUUCAUAAAAAAUAAUAAUAAUAAUAAUAAUCACCAACUAUAAAAGGAUAAUAAUAAGAAUAAUAAUAAAUAUAUUAUUAUUAUUAUCUUUUUGGUAAAACCUUUCAAAGAGGAGAAGUUGCUAAAAUUAAGAAAUUAAAUCAUUUGAAUUAAAAAAUUAAAAUAGGAGAAUUCAAAAUUCAAAUUCCCUAUCUUCAUGUAUAAAUAGUGGUGACUUAUUUCAAGAAAAAGAGGGAAAAAUUCAAAAAUAAAGAAAAAUUAAAAAGAAAAUUUUAGGGAGAAAAUCUAAAAGCAACUUUGUACAAGAAAAGAGGAUUUACAUAAAAAAAAAGAGUUUUGUCAAAUCUUCCUACAAGUUUGAUAAAUGACAAAAGAAUUGCUACAUAGGUUUUUCCUCAUUCAACAAAUUCAUUCGAGAAUAAGUCAUUUGUGACCUUCGAUUGAUCUUCAAAAUUAAGAAAACGUCAUCGUCAUUCUUCAAGUUAUGGUUAAAGCGAAAAAAUCGAAGGAAAAUAUUAUUUUGUAAAGAAUAUUAUAUUUGAGAUUGUACCCACAAUAUUUUUAAUUUCAACAAAUAUUUUGUUUGUAUUAUUUUUCCAUUUGUUUUACUAAUUUUGCAUGACAUUUUAUACCUACAAUAACAUUUAUAUAUAUAUAUAUAUAUAUAUGUUCUGUACAUGAUUGUUUGGGACAAACCUUGAAGGAUGUUUGGACCUGCAAUAAUUUUGUUAUAUACUACGAUGAUGACAAGUUUUAUUGAUUAAGGGACUAGGAUUCUAAGAAAGAACUCAACUAACUCUGAAUGGAAGUUGAUGCUUUAACGUCUUAAUAACUUAAAUUAAGUGAUUAAAUCAUAUAUUAAAUUAAUUUAUUAAACAAUUCUAUAUUUGUCUAAUAUGCCAACCAAGGGAAUUAAAGCAUCUUUCUCAUUGAUGCUAAGGAGUUAAUGAAAGCGUGUAGAAGUAGUUAUGGAGUUAGCAUGUUAUUUUGUUCAUUAGUUUUCAACUGAGACCUAUGACUCAAUGAAUCGCUUCAUCUAUAAAGAAAAGAAAAGACAAGGCGGCUGAGUUGAGCGCCUACAAUUUCUCUUCCUGUGGGUGUUUUCUGAAUGUAUUAUUGAAUACAUUUGAUCUCAUUGCACACGUAGCAGUGACUUAACGACCUCAUGUCCACGUGGAUUGAGAAAGUAAAAGUCAAACGCUGUACAUUUACGGGGGUUUUGACCGUUACAGACUGAAAUUCCACCAAACCUUUCAAACACGCACUCCCUGACUUUCCCAACACUCGCGUUUCCUAGUCCAAGUCUUCAUUCUUCACUCUAAAAAAUGACCAUAUCCAACAGCUCUAGUCAUUUUACGCGUCCCCACAAAAGCUAUGUACGUAUUAUAUGCUCACUCACAAAGAGUGGAUCUUCACAUCUUCACUUCCUAUUGCAAAGAGUUAUCCACAUUAAUUUGCACUAACGUUCUUGUGUUGCGCAAGCCAUGGUUAACUGCAGUGUCUUUGGAUGCAUUUUCAAGAAGAUGGUGAUGGAAAACUCUCUCAUUUGGAGGUAUGGCGCUGCGUGGGGACGAUAGGGGGAGGAGCUGCUGCUAAUGUAGGAGGCGUGAUGAAAAACGUUCUUGUGUUUCUUUGGAAUAUUGCAAUGGUUUUUUGGGGGGGUUUUAGGCUGAUAAUGCUCUUUUUAGAGGCUUGAAAAUUUCUGCUGCUUAGUUGUUAAUUUGAAGACACAUCUGUUGUUUAGUGUUCAUGUGCAAAUCUGUCUUACCUUUAUUUUGUUUAGUAUAAAGUUAAAAAUCUUUGAGACGGAUAGUUUCUGUUGAGGAGAAAGAAGAGCGGUUGGAGUUGAUGAUGAGCUCAGAUGAUUUCUAAUUCCUCUUUCAAAAAAAUUUUCUGCUCAGUGACCAUUUUUUAUUUACUGAUCUUCUAUUUUUGUUUUAAUGGAUUUAAAAAACGCCAGAGAUCUCCUCAAGGCUGUUGAUCAGUAUCUCUUGGAGUGUUUUGAGCAUCAGACCUGGUAUUCAAAUAGGAGAAAUGGAGUCUAAACCGGAGGCUCUUGUGAUUCCUCUUCAGAUGUGGAAUUACGAGUUAUGAGUGUGGCAAAUGAGAAUACAUGACUUGCUUGGUGAAGAAGAUAAUGAUAUAGUUGCCGUAAGUAGUCCCAUGCCAUUUUUGCUGCAAGGAUGACCCAUAAACCAAGUGCCGGCCAUCCUAAUUCUGGAACUAAAAUGAAGAAAGUAAGAUUGGGGCAAUUGUGGCAGAGAGGAGUCGAAUGGGCCCGAGCUUUUUACCAACAAUAAUUGUUCCAACAUAAAUGGAAAUAACAAUAACAAAAAAAUAUAUAAUCCCUUUAUGUUCCUCAAAUAGGGAAAUGCUGACGCCUUGAUAUUUCACUGCAAGGAGGACACCUAAUAUUGAAAGGUAGCCGAAAAAAACUUAGAUCUCAAGGGGUUUACUUGAUCCUUGAUCUUACUCUAUGAAGGAAUUUAAUCCUUGCUCUUGCUCCUGUCAAGAAAAUAAAAUUACUUUUGAGUGUCUAAUCAACAAGUAAUUAAUGAAAUUCAAUAAUAAAAUAAAAAAAAUACACAAAAGCCUUCUCAAUAACGAGGGCAUACCGUUGUCGUCUGUCCAUGAAGUGUAGAUGCAGUUGCAGCUCUCAGCUCUUAAGAGCACCUUUCCAAUGGCUGGCAGUAGCUCUUAGCAUUUGUGGGGAUAUAUAGUUUACUAGGCUACUAUGAUGUGAGUCAACCUACGCAAUUUGAGAAGUAGGGCUGAUGUGACAAGCGCUGCAUAGCAACUUCGCUUUGCUUUGACCCAAAAUGCUGUAUUUAAAAAAAAAAAUGCAUAAACUAAACCGAAUAUGAAAAUAAUGCCCAAUCUAGUGCGUCUGGGCCACGUGGAACGCCACAUCAUAAAACCGUAGUUGGUAACUACGGUUUUGAAUUUUUUUAAAUUGGUCAAAACCGUAGUUGGUAACUACGGUUUUGAAUUCCUUUUCUGUCCCUUUCCCAUUAGGUUUCUCCAUUUCCCCGAUUGGCUUUCUUCUCUUUAGGGCUUUGUUCUUCCCUUUAGGGUUUCGUUCUUCCCUUUAGGGUUUCAUCCUUCCCAUUGCAUCCAUAGUUCAAAUUCAAAUUUUGGAAGUCGUUGUCAGGUAAGAUUUAUGAAUUUUUUAGUUAAUCGUAAAUUUUAAUGUUUUUUUUUUUUUGUAAAUCUGUUUGGUUUGUUGUUGUAGAUUUGUUUGGUUUCUGUUUGGUAAAGACAUGUUUGAUUUUAUUUUGAAUUUGAGCUUAGCAGAAAGAAAAUGGUUUUUUUGGUAAACAAAACGGAUAUGGAAUGGGGGACCAGUAUGGAUUUCUUUUUGUUAAAGAUGCCAAAAAUGGAGGGGACCACUGUAAAAAAACUCCGGUGAUUUUUGUUAUAGAAAUAGAAAAUAUCUUCAAAUAUUUGUUACCAAGAGUGAGGGGACCACUCAGAUGGUAUAUCUUCAAAUAUUUGAGCAAGAAUCUUAAACCCAUUCUCAAAAUUUACGCAAAUGUUUUUUCCUAGAACCUUGAGAUUUGUUUUUAUAGUUCUUUAGUUUGGUGAUACUUGAUUUUUUUUCCAUUCAGCUUCCUGUGAGAUUCUGAUUGAACAUAAUUUAAGGAUUUUUUAUUGUUAAAUCUAUUCUCUUCUUUGCAUCUACAGAAAUUCUCAUUCCUUUGAUUGUAAUUUUAUUGAACUAAUGAAAAGUUCAAAACUAGAACAUUCAAUCCUUCAUCAGUUGGUAUAUAUGAGAUUUUUAAUUAUUUUAUUUGUAUUUUCUCUCAUUCUCCCACUCAAUAAGAAAUUAUUAGAACUUGUCUAGUACUGUUUUUUAAAAUUGUUAUAAAAAACAAUUUUUGAGGAUAAUUUUUUAAACUAUCUGUCAAUUAUUUUCAAAAUUUUACUUGAAACCCUUAAUGUAAAAAAUAAUUUUUAAAUUUAUUAUCUGUGUUUCUGGAUUUUUAGCCAAUAUUCGGACUUACAUCAUAUAUAUUUGCAUGGGAAACAGAUGAAUUGAAUGAAGGGCAGGGCUCAUGAUCAACUUCCUUUUUAGUUAUUCUUUCAGCUUCUUCUUCUUCUCCUGCUGCUGUUUUGGUUUACCUCAAGAAUCUCUUUGCCCUUCUCUUCCAAAUUAAACCUUAAUCAAAAGCUUUAGUACAAGCAUAUUCUUCUUCUUCUUCUUCUUCUUCUUCUUCUUCUUCUUCUGAGGUUGCUCUCCUGUAUUUGUGGAUAGGUAAGCUUCAAAGCUUGGUUUUUCUCCCUUCUUAUGGGUUGAAUCUUACGUUUCUCACUGUCAAAAACAUUCCAUGGAAAUUUGAAUACAUACCACUGUAAAACUCAUGAAAAAACUAGACCCAUUGUUUUUUUUUUUUUUUUUUUUGUGAACAAGGUUGUUUAGAUUGAGCACUAUGUUAAUAGAUCUUACUGUGUGAUCCUUUUUUAUUGAUCUCCCUGAUCUUUGCCCUAUUCAUCUUGUGCUUAUGGAUCCUUUAGGGGGCCUAUUUUCUAAAAAAGUUUUUGUUUUUAGAACAAACAAUAGUUUUUCAAUGUUUGGUAAGUUGUAGACUGGAAAUAGCUUUUGAAAAUUUAUCCUAAACAUAGAGUGGUUUGUUUGAAUAAGUUUAAGGAUUUUCACAUAUUUUUUUUGUAGAGUGUUUUGAAAAUUAAUCUAAAAAUAAUGAGAAUAAGUUGGAAAAUUUUGUAUUAUUUCAUAAGUGUACAGUAUCUCGAGCAAAAAAAAAAAAAAAAACUUCUAUAUUUGGGUUCUCAAAAAGAAGUUUAUUCCUACCAAUUAAAGAUUGUCAAACAGAACCUAGCUAGCUAGUUUUUGAGAAAUACAAAAAUGGUGAAUGAGGUGCAAUGCAUAAAAGUUACAAGUAAAAUAGACAAAAACGCUGACCAUGGAUUGUUUGGUAUGGAAAGUGUCAAGGGACAUGUUUUUCUCUUUUGCUUUCAUUUUCCAUGCAGAAAAGUAAUUAAUGUGAAAAAGAGAAAAAGUACACUUGGAGUAGAAGGCCUCUAGUAUAAGUUUGUAACAGUUCAACUUUUGUUAAUUUCCUUCCACUUAUGAUUUGCCUAAUAGUUCUCUUCUUGAUAUGUAUGGAAGUUGCCAAGUUUGAAGAAGAAAAAAUGAGAGCCCUUCAUUUACAUAAUUUUUUUUUUUGCCUUGUAUUUAGAGAGGAAAGUGUGUACACGAAAACAAAGUAAUGGUUGCUAUUAUUAAAGUGGGUUCAAGGCCUUUAUCCUAGCCAUCAGAAUCUGAUCUUGACCUUUUUGUUGCCACUCUAGAUGGUUGUUACUUCAUAUGGUAGACAACAUAAAUAAUUUAAAUUUUGGGAAAACCAUAUUGGGAUUCAUACCCCCUUGUUCUUAUACAUGGCAAAAGAGUUCAUGACCAGUGGGACUAAUGUGAUUUUUGGUUUUACAAUUGUUAAUAAAUAUAUAUACACACAGACAAAUUUUUAUUUUUCUCAUUUUAAUAAAAAAAAUAAAGGAAUUUUGGAGACAAAUAUAUUUUUAAUACAUUUUUAUCAUACAUAAGAUAUUAAAAUAAACAUCUAAUAAAUAAUUUAAUUUUAAUUAUCUUAUUUCCAAAUUUGAUUUAAGUAUUAAAAAUAUAAAAAUGAUUAUUAUAAAUUUUUUAAUGAGUCUUUGUUCAUAUUUUUUUUUAUUAAUUAAACUUAAUAGAAAAAAAAAUUACAAAUAUUUUAAAAAUCAUACAUAUAUCAUCAUUUCUUUUGUAUCUUUUAGAUAUAUCAAUGUAAAAUGUGUUUUCAAGUUCUAUAUAUUAUUAAUUUAUUAUCAAAUAUUAGAAAUAAUAUAUAUAUAUAUAUAUAUAUAAUAUAAAAGUAAUAACUUGAAUAUGCGUAUUAUUUCUUGUUUUUUCUUUUUUUUUUCCCUCAAAAUUUCUUCCUUCGAUUUAUUUGUCAAAAUUUCCACUGAUAUUUCCCGAUAUAUCCUAGUAUAUUCGUAAAAUCCAACUGCCAAUAUAUCCAUGAAAACUGAUGUCUCAUCCUUGGUUCUACUAUCUUUUUGAGGUCAUGCUUCCCAUAUCCCAUGUUGUCCCCUGUUUUAGAUCUGCAAUUUGGUAAUUCAUAUGAAAUUGUUGAUUUAUCCUAGGUUAUUGAUUCAUCUUCACACACAAUUUCUCAUCUAGACAGCUCCUGAUCAAUGAAACUAGUCAAAAGAAGGAACCUAGCUUUCCAAAAACAGAAUAAACACAUAUCAAAUUUUUAUAAUUGUGUAAUUGAUAUUUUAUUAAUAUAUAUUUUUUUGGUCAGUUACUUUUAUUUGAUUUUGAUUUUGAUUUUUUUUUUUCGACUUUUAGCUUUAAUCAAAUAUCAAUUGAUUCAUGAAUAAUAACAUAAUUCUUUAAAUUAUAUAUUAUUUAAUAGUUCAUAACAUUCAAUUUUAUUUUAAUAUAUGAUAUUUUAUAAUAAAAAAAUUUUGGUGGAUUAUUUUUUAUUUAAUUUUAAGGUUAUUGUAAUUUUUUAACUCAACAUUUAUUGAUUUAUAGCCCACUACCUAAGUUUUAAAUUAAAAUUCUAUAAAACAUUUAUCUAUGAUUAUAUUUGUAUCAUAGAUAACUAUUUAAAUAAAAAAAUUAUUAUUAUGAAGUGAUUUAUAUUUUUCCUCCUAAUGUCUAAAAAUGUGUUUUAUUAUAUAAUUGUGUAUUCACAUGUUAAAAUAUUAUAUGCAAUUUCUCUUGCUAUUAUUUUCAUUGAUUAUUAAACCAUUUGAUAUUGUAUUUUUUGUAGGUAAAUCAUGUCUGAAUCUAUUAUUCCUGUGAUUUGCUUUUGUAAAGGAAAAAUGUUGAGGACAGAAACAGAUGUAAAGUAUAUUGGGGAUCUAGCUGUAAUUGUGCCUUUGUAUGUGCCUGUUGGUUCAACCUAUGAACAGUUGUUAUCUAUGAUAUACUCGAGAACUGGCAUUGACAAAAAACAAUUUCAAUUAGUCCUCAACUGUAGAUAUCCUUUGAAAAGGGAAAAUAGGUUUCAACCUUGUCCAAUAUGGGAUGAUAAUAGUUUAUCUCAAAUGUUGAAAUUGGUUAACACAUUUGGAAUGGACGAAAUUGAAUUGUAUAUUGAACAAGUGCCAGUACAACCACGGGAGAGGGGGCAAUUUUUGGGUAACUUCACACAAUUAUUACUCGGACAAAAUGAUAAUGUUGAGGAAUUUGAGUAUGGUUGUGGACCUAGUAGUGCCCCAGUUGCAAUGACUUAUGAGUGUAGAGCAGAUGAAAAUGAAGAAGAAUGUGAAUCCCAAGAAGGUGAUGAUCAAAGUGAGAGAGCAGAAGAUGUUCAACAUGAUGGCGAUGGGGUGUUCGAAUUUAUUGAUGAGGAAAACAAUAAUGUUAAUGUUGUUUCAUCUUUCUUAGCUCUUCACGAAGCAAUGGAAAGUGAACAAGGGAGAUAUGUCUCCGGUAGAGUAUUCCCCUGUUCAGUAUCACUCGGCACCAUCAUUGCAGUUUGAAAAUGUAGAAAACAUUGGUAACGCCGUUUCAAGUGACUGGACCCCAUGGGGGAACACUAAUAUUGGAAACUCAGGUGGAGAGUUCAUGGUUGGCCAAGUUUUUAAUUCAAAAGCAGAUUUACAACAUGCUGCGAAGUUGUACUCUUUAAGUCAACACCAAGAGUACGUUGUUGUUUCGUCAACUACAAAGUUGUUGGUUCUAAGAUGCAAGAAGGCUGAGCAAUCACAAUGUCCAUGGAAACUUCGUGCUAUGGUUGUAAAAGGUACAACUUCAUUUGCAAUCAAUAAAUACAAUGGUCCUCACAAAUGUGUAAAUCCUUGCUUGAAUCGGGAUCAUCAACAAUUAGAUUCCAACUUGAUUGCUGCUCAUAUCCAAGGAAUGAUUAAGGCACAAUUCACAUUGUCAGUGGCUGCUAUUCAAGCAAGUAUUGUGGAGAAAUUCGGAUACCAAAUAUCAUACAAGAAGGCAUCUAAAGCGAAGCUUAAAGCUCUUACAAACUUAUUUGGUGAUUUUUAUAAGUCAUAUGCAGAGCUGCCACAUUUUUUCAUUGCCUUAGAGCAGGCAAAUCCAGGAUGUGUUGUAGUUUCAAAAACAUUUCCUGGUAUUAUGGAGAAUACAGAAAUAUUUCAACGAGUUUUUUGGACAUUUCAGCCAUCUAUUGAAGGAUUCAAGCAUUGUCGGCCUGUACUCAGUAUUGAUGGUACACAUUUGUAUGGGAAGUAUAAAGGCACUUUAAUGAUUGCUAUGGGUUGUGAUGGAAAUAAUAAGUUAUUCCCAUUGGCUUUUGCCCUAACAGAGGGUGAGAAUGUUGAUAGUUGGGGAUGGUUUUUGGCAUGUAUUAGAACAAGAGUCACUAAUAGGAGGAAACUUUGUGUUAUAUCAGAUCGACAUCCAGGCAUUAUGGCUGCAAUGAGCAAUGUUCAUCUUGGUUGGUCUGAGCCAUACGCAUAUCAUAGGGUUUGUAUGCGUCAUCUUGCUAGCAAUUUUAUGACUCGAUUCAAGGAUAAAAUAUUGAAAAAUCUGAUGUGCAGAGCAGCCUUAGCAACCAAGAUUGAAAAAUUCAAUAAACAUAUGAACACAAUUGGGAGGAUUAAUGCAGCCGCACAACAAUGGUUGGAAGCAAUUCCUUUUGAGAAAUGGGCACUCUCUCAUGACGGAGGUCGAAGGUAUGGCAUCAUGACUACAAACAUGUCGGAGGUGUUCAAUAGUGUGCUUAAAGGGGCUCGUAGCUUACCCGUAACUGCUUUGGUUCAAUUGACAUUUUUUCGGCUAAAUAGUUACUUUGUUGUGAGAAGGGAACAAGGUGCUAAUCGACUUGCUUCAAGUGAGGAAUACACUCCAUAUGUUGAUGCUAAGAUGAAGGCAAAUGUGGUUAAGGCGGGAUCUCAUGAGAUUGUUUUAUAUGAUCACAUCCAAGGACAAUUCCAUGUGAAGAGUAAUAGGGGUACUAAGAGUAGUUCAACUGGUGGUCGAACAUAUCGCGUCAACUUACAGGAGUAUGCAUGCACGUGUGGUAAAACACUCAUAUAUGGAUUCCCAUGUAGUCAUAUUCUAGCAGCAUGUCAUUUUCGUUCAGUUGAUUUUAGACCACUUGUUCAACACUACUACAGUACACAAUCGUACUAUAAUACUUGGGCACCCUUGUUCCAUCCCAUUUUCAAUGUAUAUGAGUGGCCUCCUUAUGAUGGCCCGAUUAUCAUGCCUUCUGAGUCGAUGAAACGUGCAUCGAGUGGACGACCUAAAUCAAGUCGUUUGCAUAAUGAAAUGGAUGUCAGAGAGGGCAAGACUUCUAUUACGUGUGGGUUAUGCAAACAAAGUGGCCACAAUCGUCGUUCUUGUCAAAACAGUAAUAGAGUUGAUUAGACCUUGUGAUGUGUGCAUGUAAUUUUCUUGGAUAUUGUGAUGUAAGCUACUAUGAUACUACCUUUAUUCAAUUAUGGGCUUUGGUUUGAUUAUAAAUAUUGAUGUUAUUUGUCUAAUCAGGUUAUUUGUAUUUGGAAUAAUGUCCAUAUUAUAGGGGAAACUCUGUCAAAAUUUUUAAAUUUUCUAUUAAAAAUGUUAACAAAAUGCUUCAUUGUAUUUGUAUUUCUAAUUUUAUUUUAAACUAGUAUGACUUGUUUAUUGGUCAUAAAUGAAUUGAUCUACUUAAAUUUAUCAAAUUGAUAUAUACUUAAUAUAUGGAAAACUCCAUAAAUUUUUAAAACUUUUCCAUUAAAAAUAUUUUUAUUUAAAAACAAUAAGUAUUGUUUAUUUAUCUUCACAAUUUUGUUACAGAUAUGGAGUAUAGAGGACAUAGUUCUGAUCCAGAUCCAUUAGAUACGUCUAUUUUGGUUCUACAGGAUAGACAUAGGUCUCAUUUAGUUGACUCUGGUCAGGUAUGUAUAUGAAAACACAUAAUAUCUCUUUAAAGAAUGAAAAAAAUUGCAGUUUAUUAUCUAAAUGAUUUAUUUGUAUUUUUACAGCUUGCUUCAGUCUUGACUUGUCGACAACAUAUAUCUAGGUUUAUGCGGGAGUGGGAGAUGGAUCCUCGUCUUCAACCUUAUAUUAUUCGAUCUGGAUUUUAUGGUGUAUAUCGUAUUGGACACAUUACACUAGAUUGGGGAUUGAUCACUAGUCUAGUUGAGAGAUGGCGUCCUGAGACACACACAUUUCACUUACCUGUUGGGGAGAUGACCAUUACUUUACAGGAUGUUGCUGUCAUAUUAGGUCUUCGUAUUCAUGGGCUUCCCAUCACUGGCACAUGUGAUAUAGAUUGGUCAUUGCUAUGUUAUGAACUUUUAGGGGUGACUCCCCCUACAUCUGAGAUUAGAGGAUCAGCGAUAUCGACACGAUGGCUAUGUCACCAGUUCUCUCAUCCACCAGUUGAUUUAGAUGAUGCCACAUUAGAGCAGUAUGCACGGGCUUUCAUAUUAGGACUCAUAGGUUCAGCGCUAUUUACAGACAAGAAGGGUACUCACAUACAUAUGUGUUAUCUCCCACUUCUUAGAGACUUGACUCAGACAUCUAUGUAUAGUUGGGGUAGUGCAGUAUUAGCAUACCUAUAUAGGGAGUUGUGUCGAGCGAGUUUGGAUGGUGCCACCGAUAUUGCUGGAUGUGUGACAUUAUUACAGGUAUAAUUAAUUAUUCACAUUAGAUUGAAAUUUCUAGUUGUUUGAAGUUUAUAAUUUAAGUAAAAUUUUAAUGUUACAUUUUUUUUGCAGUUAUGGUCUUGGGAGAGACUCCACCUGGGUCGACCCGAUUUUGGUCGACCACCAGCCCCUCCAGCAGCCCAACAUUUAGAGCAUGAUGCAGUCGAUGAUUUACCAGCUGAGCAUUUAGAGCAGGGAUUACAGGAUGAGGCAUUGUUACAUGAGGGUUUACCGGCUGAUCCGUUAGGAUGUAGGUGGAGAGUACCUUUAUCAUGGGCUCAAAACCCAUCACGUGUGUUGACAUUUUAUCGAGACCAAUUAGAUGCACAGACCCAUGACCAGGUACAUAUAAGAUCUAAUGUGCUAUUGUUAACCAUAUAAACGUUAACUUUAUUAAUUUCAAAUGUUGAUUUUAACAGGUUUUAUGGGAGCCUUACAUGGGAGACUUAGUUGCCCAUCUUCCGGCGAUAUCUCUAGCAGACCAGGAGAUUUGGAGGACGAUGUCACCUCUUAUCUGCUUUGACAUUGUCGAGUGGCAUCGACCGGAGCGAGUGUUGCGACAGUUUGGCCUCCAACAAGGGAUACCUCCAUCUUGUUCCAUAGAGCAACACCUCCAUUCCGUGGAUAGGCGAGGACGACAUAAGUAUGAUUGGGAGGCAUUUCAUGCACAGUAUAUUACCUUAUGGGCUAGUCGUGCGGAGCGUAUUGUGACGGCACCACCUAUGGUGGGUGCUAUGCAGUUUCAUGAUCCAUAUAUGGAGUGGUACCGACGUAUUACAUGACGUUUGAUCACACCCCCUCUCCAUAGAGAUCAGAUGAGGUAUCAUAGUACAGCAGCAGCUACUCAGUUGUUGGUAAGAUUUUUUUAAAUUUAUAAAUGGUUUAUUAAAUUUUAAUUAAUUAAAAAUCAUCUUCGUCUGUUUAACUUUUUUUUUUUUUUAAUAGAUCACUGGUAUGGUUGAGAUUGCUAGUCGAUCUGCUGGGCCUACUUCAGGUGCGUUAGGCGACAUUCAUCGGAUUGCUAUUGAUAUUUUGCAUGUUAUUGGAGAGGACCAUCGCAUACAUUUUGCCCGUCAGUCGCCUACAUCAUCAUACCCAUCUAUGAGACCACCUAUGUCAGCCACUACAGUUAGGAUGCAGCCUAUUCGAGGCCGAGGGAGAGAUAGUAGGAGAGAUGGUGGGCGAGUUGGUCGACAGCCUCGACGAUCUAUGCAUCCACCCGAGACCAUGUUAGCACCAUCCACAUCAUCUACCCCAUUUGCACCUGAGGUUUCCACACUUCCCCCUUCACCCCUACCAUCACCUUCACCUAGACCUUCUCCCUUAGAGCAUGUCGUAUCAGAUACCACUCUACCAUCACCUGUAUUUCCUCCCACAGACGCCACUAUACCUGAUGUCACUACACCAGAGACUACCCCACUAUCUACUAAUCUACCAUCACCUCUACCUUGUCUCGAGGAGACCACUACACCACAUGUCACCUCACCAUCAUCACUUAUAUUUCCUCUCCUCGAGCCCACUAUAUCAGAUGUUAUUGCACCAGCUACCACUACAGUAGAUGUCAUUCUUCCAUCUCCUAUAUCACCUCUCCUAGAUGCUACCAUAUCAGAUAUCACUGUACCUGAGGUCGCCCCACCAUCUACCACUUUACCAUCACCUACACCUCUUCCCAUAGAGACUACCAUGCAUCAUACCCUUACACAUGUUACACAGUUUGAUGUAUGUCCACCUAGGAGACGUCGUGGUCCACGUAGACGUCGAGUCUUGCCUCCAUCAGCUCCAUCUCAACCUAUACAUACCGAGACAUGGCAGAUUGCACAGAUAAAUUCCACAGAGAUGUCUCUUUAUCAUAGGCGUCCGCAGAGAAAGAGGAAGACCCCAUCAUGUGGCACUCAUUGAGGACUGGUUUUUAGUUUUUGUGUUUAUUUUCAUUUGCAUUAUGUUGUUAACUUAUUUAUUUAUUUAUUAUUAUGAACAAAUUAUUAUAUAUUUAAAUGAAAAUAUGAUCAAUUUUAAACUUAAAUUGAACUUAUAUAUAUAUAGCAAUUCGACAAUUUAAAAAUGUGUAACUAAUUAGUUACAACAACACUAUAUCAAUAUAGAAAAAAUAAUGCAUUAAAACUAAUUUACAAUCUUAACCUCCAAUCAAAAUAAUUCUUAAAAAAUUGAACAUUCGCAUGAUUUAAAAUUUGAACUUAAAAAAAUUGGUUUUAUGUUUAAAUUUAAAGCUAUGAUCACCAACUACUAUUUUGACUAUUUAAAAAAAAAAAUUAAUUUGAUGAUGUAAAUACUAUCAAAAAUCAUAAUUACCAAUUACAGUUUUAUGAUGUAAAUACCCUCAUGAAUAAGACACACAUCACAUUGAAAAUUAUUUUGAGAAUAAAAUUAAUUUAUGAAUUUUUUGUUUUAAAGAAAUCAUUUUUGUCCAAAACUCCCGUUAAAACCCAAUAAGGAACAUUUUUCUUAUUCUCAAUGAAUUUACAAAAAUGUUCUAAAAGCAUUUUCAUUUAUUUACCAAAACAGUUAAACUAAAUGGUGAAUUGAUUGGAAAAACAUAGGUAUUUUCUUUCUACAAUUCUAUAUUUUAAGAAGUGGAAAAACAAAUUCUAUUAGGUUGACAUUUUAGGUUUAAAAUUUUAAGCCUUUCCAUUCCAUUCCAUUUUGAUCCCAUUUUGAAAGGAAAAAAUUGGAGAAAAUAAAAUUAUUUUUGUUGUAUUUAAGUAAUUUUCCAAUUAUUUACCCACUUGAAGUCAUAUUAUGUUUUGUACAAAUGCAUAAUUGGCUUUAAUUUUUGUACAAAGUUACAAAAUAAUAUAAUAUUCUUCAUUAUGAGGGCAUAAAAUAUUAUAUUUUUAACUAAUUAUAUUUAUAUUGAGUAUAAUGUCAAAUAUUUUAAUAAAACUAAACCAAAAUAUUUUUAUAUCAAAUUAAAGACAUCAAUUAUUUAAUUUCAUAUAUUAUUAUUCUUUAAAUAAUGAGAUCAAUUAAAGUUAAAUAUUUUUAUUAAACCACUCACAUAUUUUUAGUCAAUCUAAAAUCAAAAUAAUAUAAUAUUUUUAUUUAAAUAAAUUAAAGUUAAAUAAUUUUAUUAAAUCACUCACAUAUUUUUAGUCUAUCUAAAAUCAAAAUAAUAUAAUAUUUUUAUUUAAAUAUUUUUAUAUCAAAUUAAAGACAUCAAUUAUUUAAUUUCAUAUAUUAUUAUUCUUUAAAUAAUGAGAUCAAUUAAAGUUAAAUAUUUUUGUUAAACCACUCACAUAUUUUUAGUCAAUCUAAAAUCAAAAUAAUAUAAUAUUUUUAUUUAAAUAUUUUUAUAUCAAAUUAAAGACAUCAAUUAUUUAAUUUCAUAUAUUAUUAUUCUUUAAAUAAUGAGAUCAAUUAAAGUUAAAUAUUUUUAUUAAACCACUCACAUAUUUUUAGUCAAUCUAAAAUCAAAAUAAUAUAAUAUUUUUAUUUAAAUAAAUUAAAGUUAAAUAAUUUUAUUAAAUCACUCACAUAUUUUUAGUCUAUCUAAAAUCAAAAUAAUAUAAUAUUUUUAUUUAAAUAUUUUUAUAUCAAAUUAAAGACAUCAAUUAUUUAAUUUCAUAUAUUAUUAUUCUUUAAAUAAUGAGAUUAAAGUUAAAUAUUUUUAUUAAACCACUCACAUAUUUUUAGUCAAUCUAAAAUCAAAAUAAUACAAUAUUUUUAUUUAAAUAAAUUAAAGUUAAAUAUUUUUAUUAAAUCACUCACAUAUUUUUAGUCAAUCUAAAAUCAAAAUAAUAUAAUAUUUUUAUUUAAAUAAAUUAAAGUUAAAUAAUUUUAUUAAAUCACUCACAUAUUUUUAGUCUAUCUAAAAUCAAAAUAAUAUAAUAUUUUUAUUUAAAUAUUUUUAUAUCAAAUUAAAGACAUCAAUUAUUUAAUUUCAUAUAUUAUUAUUCUUUAAAUAAUGAGAUCAAUUAAAGUUAAAUAUUUUUGUUAAACCACUCACAUAUUUUUAGUCAAUCUAAAAUCAAAAUAAUAUAAUAUUUUUAUUUAAAUAUUUUUAUAUCAAAUUAAAGGCAUCAAUUAUUUAAUUUCAUAUAUUAUUAUUCUUUAAAUAAUGAGAUCAAUUAAAGUUAAAUAUUUUUGUUAAACCACUCACAUAUUUUUAGUCAAUCUAAAAUCAAAAUAAUAUAAUAUUUUUAUUUAAAUAAAUUAAAGUUAAAUAUUUUUAUUAAAUCACUCACAUAUUUUUAGUCUAUCUAAAAUCAAAAUAAUAUAAUAUUUUUAUUUAAAUAUUUUUAUAUCAAAUUAAAGACAUCAAUUAUUUAAUUUCAUAUAUUAUUAUUCUUUAAAUAAUGAGAUCAAUUAAAGUUAAAUAUUUUUGUUAAACCACUCACAUAUUUUUAGUCAAUCUAAAAUCAAAAUAAUAUAAUAUUUUUAUUUAAAUAUUUUUAUAUCAAAUUAAAGACAUCAAUUAUUUAAUUUCAUAUAUUAUUAUUCUUUAAAUGAUGAGAUCAAUUAAAGUUAAAUAUUUUUGUUAAACCACUCACAUAUUUUUAGUCAAUCUAAAAUCAAAAUAAUAUAAUAUUUUUAUUUAAAUAAAUUAAAGUUAAAUAUUUUUAUUAAAUCACUUACAUAUUUUUAGUCUAUCUAAAAUCAAAAUAAUAUAAUAUUUUUAUUUAAAUAUUUUUAUAUCAAAUUAAAGACAUCAAUUAUUUAAUUUCAUAUAUUAUUAUUCUUUAAAUAAUGAGAUCAAUUAAAGUUAAAUAUUUUUAUUAAACCACUCACAUAUUUUUAGUCAAUCUAAAAUCAAAAUAAUAUAAUAUUUUUAUUUAAAUAAAUUAAAGUUUAAUAUUUUUAUUAAAUCACGCACAUAUUUUUCGUCUAUCUAAAAUAAAAAUAAUAUAAUAUUUUUAUUUAAAUAAAUUAAAGUUAAAUAUUUUAAAUCAAGUAAUAUAAUUAUUUAUAUAUAUAAAUUUAAAGUUGAAGCCGUAGUUGGUGACUACGGCUUUGACUUUUUUUAUAACAGUCAAAGCCGUAGUCACCAACCACGGUUUUAACUUUAAAAAAGUUAAAACCGUGGUUGGUGACUACGGUUUUGAAUGUUUUAAAAAAUUAAAACCGUAGUUACCAACUACGGUUUUAUGAUGUGGCAUCCUAUGUGGCACAAACGCACUAGAUUGGGCAUUAUUUUCACAUUAGGUUUACUUUAUGGAUUUUUUUUUUAAAGUGUAGCAUUUUGGGUCAAAGCUCGAGAAGUUGGAUACGGUGGUGGCGUUUUGAAACCUUCGCAAUUUGAAAUAAGUUCUUAUUUCUUAAAAUAUAAUAUUUUUCAAAAAGAAUUAUAAUAUAAAUUUAUAAAUUAUUCUCUUAUUGUGGCUAUACUACUUUACCAUAAUAAUAAUAAUAAAAGAAUCAGACAUUAAAAUAAGUUCUUUUUGGCAUAACUAAUUUCUAAUGUGUUAAUUAUGAUAAAGAAAUUAUUUUUUCAUCUUAUGUAAAAAAAUAUUUGAUAAUAUAUUAAAAAUAAAUGUAAUUGGGAAAAAGUUUAGAAGUUGUGUCAUUCAUCCAUGCUGAGGAGUAAGUGGCAGUGUGUAGAAGUAGAUAGGUUGUUUGAACUUUGAAACUUGUUUUGACGUUAGCUUGUUGUUCUACAGAAGACCACUAUUUUUUAUUUUAUUUUAUUUUUUAUGUUUUAAUUUUGUAAUUUCUCGUUUGUCGCAUCAUUCCCACGUCAUGUCCAAGUGGUUUGAAAAAGCAAAGAAGCGGUUUUGACCGUUGUACAGUCAAUAAUCUAGAACAUACGCAUUCCGUGACGUCUCCAGCACUCGCUUCGCUUCAUUCUCCAGAACUUCCUAGUAAAGUCUCGAUUCUUCACUCUCAAAAUCUCUAUACCCGACAGCUCCAUCUACUCCUUUUACGCGUCCCCACAACAGCUAUAUAUAUGCACACACAAAGUGUUCAUCCUCACAUCUUCAAAUCUUACUACAAAUUAAGUGUUAUUUACAUUAAUUUUCAUUAACAUCCUUGUGUUGCCACAUCCAUGAUUAACUGCGAUGUGUAUGAACGCAUUUUCAAGCGCUUCGAUGAAGAUGGUGAUGGGAAACUCUCUCCUUCGGAGCUCCGACGCUGCUUGGGGAAGAUAGGGGAGGAGCUGCUGAUGGAGGAGGCGCAGGAGGUGGUGGAGUCGAUGGACUCGGACGGAGAUGGGUUGCUGGGAUUGGAAGAAUUUGUGGGGUGGAUGGAGAGAGAGGGUGAAGAGAGAAAGAUGGAGGAUUUGAGAGAGGCCUUUAGGAUGUAUGAGAUGGAAGGGAGUGG
rnacentral:lncRNA from 1 species